GCAAGAGUACAGAUAGGUCUCAAAACCAUCACGCUGAGUGAAACAAGUCAGAUGAUACCAACCUCUUCGAAAGUUGGUUUAUGUGUCCGAAUGUCAAUGCCUCACCCUGCUCCGAACAAAAACAGUAUCAGGUGUGUCCAUAAGGACUACAAAUGCCAGAAGAAACACUGUCAAAGAAUUAUGGAAGACGUAUGGUGCUGAAGAGAUUUUGGUAUUCAGUGGGAUAGUCCGAGUCAUCAUAAACAUAAAGGUUAUAAAAUUG